GACGAACGCUGGCGGCGUGCCUAAUACAUGCAAGUCGAACGCACUUUCUUUCAACGUAGCUUGCUACACCGAAAGAAAGUGAGUGGCGAACGGGUGAGUAACACGUGGGUAACCUGCCCAUCAGCGGGGGAUAACACUUGGAAACAGGUGCUAAUACCGCAUAAUUCCAUUUACCGCAUGGUAGAUGGAUGAAAGGCGCUUUUGCGUCACUGAUGGAUGGACCCGCGGUGCAUUAGCUAGUUGGUGGGGUAACGGCCUACCAAGGCUGCGAUGCAUAGCCGACCUGAGAGGGUGAUCGGCCACACUGGGACUGAGACACGGCCCAGACUCCUACGGGAGGCAGCAGUAGGGAAUCUUCGGCAAUGGACGCAAGUCUGACCGAGCAACGCCGCGUGAGUGAAGAAGGUUUUCGGAUUGUAAAACUCUGUUGUUAGAGAAGAACAAGGAUGAGAGUGGAAAGUUCAUCCCUUGACGGUAUCUAACCAGAAAGCCACGGCUAACUACGUG
rnacentral:rRNA from 1 species